AUCAAUAUAUAUAGCUUCUGACCUUUGACUCUGCAGCAGAUCCCAACAUUUUAAAGAAAAAUAUAAAGAGAAAAUGUAAGUGUUCAACUAGGCUUCUUAUAUCUUUCACUUCCUCAUAUUACAGUAAUUUUGCUAUUCCAUCCAUGUCUUUUGAGGUGGUGCAUCGUUUCUUUUCAUGCUACCGUUGCAGGCCAUCAACGCAAAACGAAGAACAUGAUGCUGCGCAUUGCUAGUGUACGCAACCGUCAACAUAUCAUCAUCAAUGAGUCUACUGAUCAAAGGCGGUGAUUCACCAUACGUGUCACUCUUAAAACAGUGGGAAUCAUUUGAAACUGUUAACCCCUGCACCAUUCAGAAAAACAAAGCUGCCCUUAUAACAUGGCUGUAGCAACUCACUAGUAAGGUACCUUCAUAGUCAAGUUACACAUAUAUAUAUAUAUGAUGGACCAGCUACAUCUUUCCAGUGUAUGCAUCUGUCUUGAAUGUUAGAUCAACUGUUUUGUUGAAUUUAGAGUUAUUCUAGGCUGAUCUGUACUGUGCAGAUAACGUAUAUUUGCUUAAGUGCUUUUCUAAUUAUUUUUGGCUAAACUACAUUCAAGGUCACUAAACUAUUAGUAAAUUUACGUUCUGAUCACUUAACUUCAAAAACUUAUAAAAUGGUCAUUGAACUAUUUGAAAGUUUUCAUUUACAUUGCUAAACUAUUUGAAAGUUUUUAUUUAAGUCACUAGGUUGUUAAGUUUUUUUUAAUAAAAAAAUUUUGGCUACUAAGCUCCAAGUAGAACAUACCUUGAUCUAAGUUAAUCUGACAAUUAGUGUCGAAGAUCGAAGAAGAAAGUUAUUUGGAUUUUAAUUUGUAGAUUCAUGACGUUCAAAGUUAUUUCACAAAAAAAGUUUGAACUAUAAAAGAAAAGGAUAAAGAGAACUUUCAAUUCGUAUAAGUGGUGUGAAUAGAGAAGGUCAUAUAAUAAAAAUUUUAACAACCUAGUAACUUAAAUGAAAACUUUCAAAUAAUAUAAUGACUAUUUGUAAUUUUUUAAAGUUGAGUAACCAAAACUUAAAUUUACUAAUAAUUCCGUGAUCUUGAAUGUAAUUUAUCCUAAAUUUUUAAUGCUUUUGCAAAACCAUUCCCAAUAAUAAUUUAAAGGAAAAAAACUUAAAUUUUUUAAAAGAUUAUGCUAAACUUGCCGUGGCAGUAUUUAAACCGAGUUAAAUAUUAUCCAAACCAUCAACUUAUUAAAGAAAAACAGUGAGAAUCAAGUGUGCCUGAUCAAAUGUGACAUUGCCUUAUAAUGUAGGAGACAUUUUUUGUUGUUGUUGUGUUAUGGGAGAGACAGGUAUUAGUCAACCCACCUAGCUUGCCCUAAAGCUCGUAUUAUUGUUUAAAAAAUAUUUUUAUUUAAACCUAAUCAUGAAAAUAUAUCAAUAUUAAUAUAACUUUAUUUCUAUAUGUUUUAUGAUUUAUAAAUAGUAAAAUGAGUCAAAAUCAAGAUUGAAAAAUAUAAACACAGGUCCAAUUCUAAGCGGGUCAAGCCUAUUCAGCCAUUGGAUCACUAAUUUUUUCAAUAAAAAAAUCAAAAUGCAAACAUGGUACUCUUACAUGAGUCUAACAAGGGUUGCUCCCAAAUGUAUCAUUUCCCCACUUGUGACCACUGCAAACAACAAAUACUAAUUUCAAUACGGCUGGAUUUGGAAUUUUACAACUUUUUAAUUCGGACUAUCUUUCUUUUUUUUUUAACAUAAAAAGGUUAAUUUUUUUUUGAAUAUUUUUUAUCAAACAAAUUAAUUUAGCGUUUUUAAAAUAAAAUAAAUGAUCUAACUGUAAAAAAAUUUAAAAAAUUACACUAUUUAAAAUUAAAAUUUUCAAUAUGCAAAAAAGAAUAACUAACACUAUACUAAAAUUUUCAUAAAAAUCAUUAUAAUUCCAAUAUACAAAAAAAAGUGAAAAAUAUUUUGUCAAUAUAACGUAUAACUUUAUGACUUAAGGGAGCGAAUUAUAUGAAAUACAAUUUGGCUAAGGGAGACUAAUAUUAUACAAUGUGGACAUCAAAUCUAAGAUACAUUAUAAUUUAUAUAUAAAAUUCAAAAAUCUCACCACUGGAUUCAUCUCUGAAUUUCAAUAUACCCCCUUCAUCUUUAUUCAACUUUUGAUUUGGUUUAGAAUAAACGAUAAACUAACAUUUAGUCUUUGAAUUUUAUAAUUUUUCUCAAUUAAUUUCCUGAUUUGUUAUUUACAUUAGUUUCAAAAUUUGAUACAAAUUUUGAAUUUAAUCCUUAGAUUUCAUUAAAGUGUAAUGACUUGAUAUCCAAAUUUUUUCAAUAUUAAAAUAUCACAUCAUUAUAUAUCUUCAACCGAAUUAAAAUUCAAGGAUGAAUUUAAAAUAAAAAUCAAUUUUCGACUAAUAUGGACAAAAGAUUUUAGAAACCAAUGUAGCAAAAUGUUGGUUUAUCCUAAGGAAAUCAGAAAUAUUAAAUUGAUAAAUCUUUGGGGUCAACAGUUGAAUCCCACAGACUCUAAGCCAGAAAUCCAGGUAAUAGAAGAAGCUUCAUAGGGUCUGUUUUUCUUUUAAGUACAGCAAAUGUUUCUUGGCAGCUUGUGAUUUUUUUGGUUAAAAGAAACAUUUGGACGGCCAAAGCUUUUUUUGCUUUACAAUUGUGUCACGCAAGGUAUAUAUCUCCAUACUUCAUACAUUCCACUGCUCAAGGUCACUAAUUUUUGGUUACCAAACCUUUGUCUUUAUAUAUUUUUCCAUAUGAAAAUGAUUCUAAACUAAUUCUAUCAAUCAAUUUUAUACUUCAUAAAAAAAGAAAGAUAUAUUCCUUCGAAAACUAAAAGAGGUUAGAACGGAUAACAAAACCAACACUAUUGCAACCGGACAAGGCUCGGCGAAGAUCAAUUGGGUUGGUCUGUCCAAAGCUUGAAAUGAGAGGAAUCAACCUUGCUAUCAAUGAUGUUUGAAUUGGAUUGAGUCGGCCGAUCAAACUAAUUUAAAGAAUUGUUUUGAGCCGAUUAAAUCUAGAAUCGAUACAGACUAAUCGAAUCAGUGAUUGAAUUUUUUUUUAAACUUUUAAAUGAUUUCUUAGCCAAACUAAUUGGAUUGACAAAAUAAAUCAGUGACUUGAAUAAUUCGGCCAACGAUCCAAUUCUAAAAACAUUGCUUAUUGUGUCAAGGAAACGAGGAACCGAAAAAGAUAGGAAAAAGAAUUACAAUGAGAUUUGGGAAGAGAGUGACCGAGGACAAGUAAGGGUCUUGACCCUUCCCUUGAAAAAUAGCAAAUCUCUCAUUUGGUUCAUUCAAAAUUUGUGAAAUCGUAAAUUAGUAUAAUGAUAAAAUUACACUUUAUUCUAUAAAAUUUAUAAUUUAUUUUUAAUUUUUAAAAAUAAUUUUCUGACUUUACCCAAGUUACACACAGAAAACAAAAAAACUGUAAUUAUGUAAUGAUAUUAAAAUAUAUAUAUAUUUUAAUAUACCCAACACAUUCUUUUAUCCUUAAAUUCUAUAUAUAUAUAUAUAUAUAAAGAGAUUAAUAUUAAUUUGGCAAUGUUAUUAUAAUGAUGUUGAACCUUUAAAUUAUUGGUUAAAAUACUGUUUUUCUAUUAUCUUUAAUAAUGGAGUUAAAAGUUAUUGGAUGCUUGUAGUUUGAUCAAAAUCAUUGAUGAAGCACAUGUUAUCAUGAUUUAAUAUUAUUUUAGGAGUGAAACAAUAUUAAUAAUUCCCACUAAGUUUUGAUUUUAACAUGUAGGGACAUUGCUUGAAUAAAUUGCAUGAUUCAUCUUAAAACUUAAUCUUUCUUCAUAAAUUAAUUAAAUUAUUUUAAUUUACAACCCUACCAACUGCUCAUUUUGUCUCUCUUUAGUAUUUGCUGAUUUGUCUUUUAUAUAUUAAAUAAUGAUUAAAAUAUGCCUAAAGUUCUUAUAUUAAAAUUUAUUUAAGUAAAUAUGUUGAUAUAAUAUUUUAAAAUUAAAAAAAUCAUUCAAUAAAUAUGUAAUAUUAAAAUGAAUUUAAAUUUAAAUUUUAAAAAUUUUAACGAUAAUAACAAUUAAAUUUUUUAUUUUUAAAUUAAAAAAUAGAAGAAUUAGAUUUAUUAAAAUGAAAUAGAUGAAUUGAAUUUUAAAUAUAUUUUAACUUUUUAUCAUAUUCAGAAUUAUAAGAAUAUAUCAAUGGCCCACGUUGCCCACCAAACAUACCUAAUCCGUUAGAUAAAAUUGUAUGAGACUAAUCUUACUGGUCUGUUCACAGUUUCUCAAGUGAAACCAUUCAUCCAUUUCCACCUGCUCGUCUGAUCAUCAUCUAACGGUUUGAGCUUCA
rnacentral:lncRNA from 1 species